UACGUAGGGGGCAAGCGUUGUCCGGAAUCAUUGGGCGUAAAGAGCGUGUAGGCGGUUCGGUAAGUCGGCUGUGAAAGUCCAGGGCUCAACCCUGGGAUGCCGGUCGAUACUGCCGGACUAGAGUGCGGUAGGGGAGCGGGGAAUUCCUGGUGUAGCGGUGAAAUGCGCAGAUAUCAGGAGGAACACCAGUGGCGAAGGCGCCGCUCUGAGCCGUGACUGACGCUGAGGAGCGAAAGCGUGGGUAGCAAACAGG
rnacentral:rRNA from 1 species